UGUGACUUGUGUCAGGAUUCGGAUGCAACACCAUGCAAAACCCCGAAACAGCUGCUCUGCCGUCCAUCUACUGGGAACCGAGUAGGGUCUCAAGAUGUGUCCUUGGAGUCCUCGCAGGCAGUUGGGAAAAUGCAGAGCACCCAAACCACCAGUACAUCCAACAGCACCAACAAAUCUCAGCACGGAUCAGCAAGGCUCUUCCGUUCUUCCAGCAAAGGCUUCCAAGGUACAACUCAAACAAGCCAUGGUUCCUUGAUGACAAGCAAACAACAUCAAGGCAAAUCAAAUAAUCAGUAUUAUGGCAAAAAGAGGAAACACAAGAGGGAUGGCCCCCUCUCAGACCUUUGUAGAUAGUCGGCGUUGUACGAUGGACUAUCUUCUGCGUGCAGUGAUCUCAUGCUCAGGACAGUUGGAUAGGGACUCCUGGGAGACAUUUGGGAGCCUUACAUACUGUUCAGACUUUGAUUUAGCAACUGAGUUUUUUCCCAGCUCGCCACGGAAUGGAUCAUGAAGACUGACAACUGCAAAAACAAAAAGCAAGCAAAAAGGGGGGGAAAGGCUGAUCAUUUGAUAAGUCAUAUGCUACAACAGGGUCAUUUUAAGAUUUAAGGCUUGAAUGUGAAAUAUAUUUCUCAUUGGCUUUAUGCAGAGUUAUAGGGAAUAGUAUUCAGUGUGGGUAGGGUGAUAGAAACAAAAAAACAAUUUCAGAGGAUGGGGUGGGAAAGGAUUACAAAGGUAUCUCAUAAGAAGUCCAGAUUCCAAAGGGGAAAGUGAUCUGUGCAUGCUUUUUUAAAAAAUAUUUUUGCAUAUAUUUACCAUUUUAUUGUGUGUAUAUAUAGAUGACCAUAUAGGAAAUUGAUAUUUGUAAUAGUGGAUUUGUUAAUACUUUUUACAUAACAUUACUGUUUAAAUUGUAAACAGAUUUUUCUCAGGAUUAGUUUGAAAAAUAAUAUGAAUUGUCAUCUUAACAUCCAUAUAUAGGGAAGUGAUUAGUUCUAUUACUCAAUUUGUUUUCCUCAGCAUUGAAAUGACUUAAUAGAACCCUUGUGACCUGCUGCAAAAAUUUUUCCUCUCUAACGAAAAGAUUUAUGGUGGCAAAUGACAUUUUAUUUUGUAAAAAAAAAAAAAAAGAAAAAAAAAGAAUACUAUGUACUUUUGUGUAAACACUGAAAAAUCUCUAGUCAUCUCUGAAUUAACUUGCAACUGUUUUCUAUAGUGCUGUCGUCUUGGGCAAUGAGUGGGCAAUUACAUGACUUUGUGUUUGUUUCCUUUGCAGUCUUUUUUUUUCUUCUUCUUCUUUUUUCUUCCUAAUAGGGAAAAAAAAGGCCACCCCUAUCUGGUCCUGUCGCAGUGAGACCUGAGGUUGCCCAGACCUUGCAUGCUGGCUCCUCUGACCUUGUGUUCUCCUUGAGCUUGUUCUUCCCAUCUCUCUUCUUUUUUAAAUUCAUGCUGAACUGCUGUGGGAGAGAAUAACUGUAAACAGCUUUAAUUAAAUCACACCUAUAAAAAACUAUUUUCUUAUACUCCACUUUAUGCUUUUGGUAUUGUUGAUCUUUAAAAAUUAAAUGGUCUUUGAUAAUGGGUCUAUUUUGUAUUGCCUUAUUAAGACCAAAUACUUCUUGUCAUCCCAUUCUUUAUCCUCUCCUUUCGUGGAGUUGUUACCUUUAAUUAAAAUUUUUUUAAACAUUGGUUUGUUUCAAUCAUACUGUAAAUUUUGGUUGUGGUCAUCUUUGAGAGCAAAUGAGAUGUGUAAUUCUGUUAUUCACCACAUGUUGAGUUUGAAACUCAGCUGGGAAUAUUUAAUAUAAUAGAAUGUAAGUGAUAUUUCUGAAAAUGCUUACUCUCAAGGUGAAAGCUCUUAAGUUUAGCAUAAGUGUGUGUGUGGCUCUGUUAAUUAUGGCCAUUUCUGAAAUGAGAUUCUUUUAUAUAUUUAUCCAUAUAAAAUACUAUUGGCUUUUAGGAAUUUCUUUUAUAUACAUUUAUGAAAUACUGAAUACCAAUCAGACCAUUAAAUGGACACUUAGUGCAACUUUUUAUAAAGAAAAUAAUGCUAAAGUAAGACCAAAACUGAUGUCAUCAAUGAAAUUAACAAUUUCAAUAUGUUCAUAUUUUAAUUCACAACAGAAAAAUGUGUUCCAAAACUGGAAACUCAUAAUACUUGUGUAAACCAUGGAAAUUUUAAAUGUGAUGUUAUUUUGACAAUGUUUAAAAUUUUAGAGUCAUAUUUUAUUCUGAUCAGAAUUUUUAUCAAGAUGUUGAGCUUUUGUUUUUUGAAAACUAGUUUUGUCAUAACGUAUUGUGCAUAAUCACAGUAUUUAUUUUCUAGGACUAUUGUGAAUGUGUAGACUUAUGUUUACUGCUAAGGGAACAAUUAUUUAUAAAAUAAUAUUAAAUCCAGUAUUAGCUGCCUAUUUCAGAUGAACACUUAAUACUUGCAGAGAUCCAUGUUACAUUUACCACACUGAAGUUUUGUUUUUUUUAAGAAUCACCCUCAUUGUUGAAAGUAAAUGUACUCUUAGGGUGCGGAUAUUAGUGUUCCAAUAAGCAUGUGAUUAUAUUAAGGUGGUGGUAGCGGGAAGAUAAUCUUGAUUCCAUUGGGAAUCUUAGGUUUUCGUAAAUUUAUUGGGAAAAUAGUUUUUCCUGUAUUGCUGAAGUUUCUUUUUGGUAAACAGUAUCUUUCUAAAAGAAAAAGCAUGAAGGAGAAAUUGAGGUGUGUACAUUUCCUCAAAUGACCAGCAUUGUAUUUGUGAAUACUGUGUAUCUUGCAAUGAACAGUGUGGAAGCUGUUCAUUUUUCAAUCUGAAGUAAAAUACUUUCAAGAA